rnacentral:rRNA from 1 species
AAACUAAGCAUAUCAAUAAGCGGAGGAAAAGAAACUACCAAGGAUUCCCCUAGUAACUGCGAGUGAAGCGGGAAAAGCUCAAAUUUGAAAUCUGGCGGUUCCUUGGACCUGUCCGAGUUGUAAUCUAGAGAAGUGUUACCUGUGCUGGACCGUGUACAAGUCUCCUGGAAUGGAGCAUCACAGAGGGUGAGAAUCCCGUCUUUGACACGGACUGCCUGUGCGAUAUGGUGCGCUCUCGAAGAGUCGAGUUGUUUGGGAAUGCAGCUCAAAAUGGGUGGUAAAUGCCAUCUAAAGCUAAAUAUUGGCGAGAGACCGAUAGCGAACAAGUACCGUGAGGGAAAGAUGAAAAGAACUUUGGAAAGAGAGUUAAACAGUACGUGAAAUUGCUGAAAGGGAAACGCUUGAAGUCAGUCACGUCGGCUAGAAAUCAACCUUGCUCUUGCUUGGUGUACUUUCUGGUUGACGGGUCAGCAUCAAUUUUGACCAUUGGAUAAAGUCAGUGGGAAUGUGGCAUCCUUAGGAUGUGUUAUAGCCCGUUGUUGCAUACAGUGGUUGGGAUUGAGGAACUCAGCACGCCGCAAGGCCGGGUCUCUUUUGACCACGUCCGUGCUUAGGAUGCUGGCAUAAUGGCUUUAAUCGACCCGUCUUGAAACACGGACCAAGGAGUCUAACAUGCCUGCGAGUGUUUGGGUGGAAAACCCAUGCGCGAAAUGAAAGUGAAAGUUGAGAUCCCCCUUAACAAGGGAGCAUUGACGCCCGGACCAGACCUUUUGUGACGGAUCCGCGGUAGAGCAUGUAUGUUGGGACCCGAAAGAUGGUGAACUAUGCCUGAAUAGGGUGAAGCCAGAGGAAACUCUGGUGGAGGCUCGUAGCGAUUCUGACGUGCAAAUCGAUCGUCAAAUUUGGGUAUAGGGGCGAAAGACUAAUCG